rnacentral:misc_RNA from 1 species
UCCGGCUUAUCACCGGCAGUCUCAUCUGAGUGCUCAACUAAAUGGUAGCAACAGACGACGAGGGUUGCGCUCGUUGCGGGACUUAACCCAACAUCUCACGACACGAGCUGACGACAGCCAUGCAGCACCUGUAUUCAGUCCAACUAAAUGAAGAAAUCCAUCUCUGGAAAUCCCAACUGAUAUGUCAAGGGUAGGUAAGGUUCUUCGCGUUGCUACGAAUUAAAGGACAUGUUCCACUGCUUGUGCGGGUCCCCGUCAAUUCCUUUGAGUUUUAACCUUGCGGCCGUACUUCCCAGGCGGUGUGCUUAAAACGUUAGCUCCGUCACCGAACAGCAAAGCUGCCCGACAACUAGCACACAUCGUUUACGGUGUGGACUAC